rnacentral:rRNA from 1 species
GUGUCAGCAGCCGCGGUAAGACGAGCCACCCGAACGUUAUUCGGAAUUACUGGGCUUAAAGGGUGCGUAGGCGGUGUAGCAAGUCGGGAGUGAAAUACCCCAGCUUAACUGAGGAAUUGCUUUCGAUACUGCUGCGCUUGAGUGAGACAGAGGUAAGCGGAACUUAGGGUGGAGCGGUGAAAUGCGUUGAUAUCCUAAGGAACACCGGUGGCGAAGGCGGCUUACUGGGUCUCAACUGACGCUGAGGCACGAAAGCUAGGGUAGCAAACGGGAUUAGAUACCCCCGUAGUCC